UACGGGGGGGGCAAGCGUUGUUCGGAAUUACUGGGCGUAAAGGGCUCGUAGGUGGCCAACUAAGUCAGACGUGAAAUCCCUCGGCUUAACCGGGGAACUGCGUCUGAUACUGGAUGGCUUGAGUACGGGAGAGGCGAGUGGAAUUCCUGGUGUAGCGGUGAAAUGCGCAGAUAUCAGGAGGAACACCGAUUGCGAAGGCAGCUCGCUGGAACGUUACUGACGCUGAGACGCGAAAGCGUGGGGAGCAAACAGG
rnacentral:rRNA from 1 species